rnacentral:rRNA from 1 species
UACGAAGGGGGCUAGCGUUGUUCGGAAUUACUGGGCGUAAAGGGCGCGUAGGCGGUGUGUCAAGUCAGGCGUGAAAGCCCCGGGCUCAACCUGGGAACCGCGCUUGAGACUGGCACGCUAGAGUUCGGGAGAGGAUGGUGGAAUUCCCAGUGUAGCGGUGAAAUGCGCAGAUAUCAGGAGGAACACCAAUGGCGAAGACAGCACUCUGGGACGGUACUGACGCUGAGACGCGAAAGCGUGGGGAGCAAACAGG